GCAGAGGGGGCUUAGUGGUGGGGUGACUGCGUACCUUUUGUAUAAUGGGUCAGCGACUUAUAUUCUGUAGCAAGGUUAACCGUAUAGGGGAGCCGCAGGGAAACCGAGUCUUAACCGGGCGUUAAGUUGCAGGGUAUAGACCCGAAACCCGGUGAUCUAGCCAUGGGCAGGUUGAAGGUUGGGUAACACUAACUGGAGGACCGAACCGACUAAUGUUGAAAAAUUAGCGGAUGACCUGUGGCUGGGGGUGAAAGGCCAAUCAAACCGGGAGAUAGCUGGUUCUCCCCGAAAGCUAUUUAGGUAGCGCCUCGUGAACUCAUCUCCGGGGGUAGAGCACUGUUUCGGCUAGGGGGCCAUCCCGGCUUACCAACCCGAUGCAAACUGCGAAUACCGGAGAAUGUUAUCACGGGAGACACACGGCGGGUGCUAACGUCCGUCGUGAAGAGGGAAACAACCCAGACCGCCAGCUAAGGUCCCAAAGUCAUGGUUAAGUGGGAAACGAUGUGGGAAGGCCCAGACAGCCAGGAUGUUGGCUUAGAAGCAGCCAUCAUUUAAAGAAAGCGUAAUAGCUCACUGGUCGAGUCGGCCUGCGCGGAAGAUGUAACGGGGCUAAACCAUGCACCGAAGCUGCGGCAGCGACACUAUGUGUUGUUGGGUAGGGGAGCGUUCUGUAAGCCUGUGAAGGUGGCCUGUGAGGGUUGCUGGAGGUAUCAGAAGUGCGAAUGCUGACAUAAGUAACGAUAAAGCGGGUGAAAAGCCCGCUCGCCGGAAGACCAAGGGUUCCUGUCCAACGUUAAUCGGGGCAGGGUGAGUCGACCCCUAAGGCGAGGCCGAAAGGCGUAGUCGAUGGGAAACGGGUUAAUAUUCCCGUACUUGGUGUUACUGCGAAGGGGGGACGGAGAAGGCUAUGUUGGCCGGGCGACGGUUGUCCCGGUUUAAGCGUGUAGGUGUGUGUUCCAGGUAAAUCCGGUUCACUUUAACACUGAGGCGUGAUGACGAGGCACUACGGUGCUGAAGCAACAAAUGCCCUGCUUCCAGGAAAAGCCUCUAAGCAUCAGGUAACAUCAAAUCGUACCCCAAACCGACACAGGUGGUCAGGUAGAGAAUACCAAGGCGCUUGAGAGAACUCGGGUGAAGGAACUAGGCAAAAUGGUGCCGUAACUUCGGGAGAAGGCACGCUGACAUGUAGGUGAAGUGAUUUACUCAUGGAGCUGAAGUCAGUCGAAGAUACCAGCUGGCUGCAACUGUUUAUUAAAAACACAGCACUGUGCAAACACGAAAGUGGACGUAUACGGUGUGACGCCUGCCCGGUGCCGGAAGGUUAAUUGAUGGGGUCAGCGCAAGCGAAGCUCCUGAUCGAAGCCCCGGUAAACGGCGGCCGUAACUAUAACGGUCCUAAGGUAGCGAAAUUCCUUGUCGGGUAAGUUCCGACCUGCACGAAUGGCGUAAUGAUGGCCAGGCUGUCUCCACCCGAGACUCAGUGAAAUUGAACUCGCUGUGAAGAUGCAGUGUACCCGCGGCAAGACGGAAAGACCCCGUGAACCUUUACUAUAGCUUGACACUGAACAUUGAGCCUUGAUGUGUAGGAUAGGUGGGAGGCUUUGAAGUGUGGACGCCAGUCUGCAUGGAGCCGACCUUGAAAUACCACCCUUUAAUGUUUGAUGUUCUAACGUGGACCCGUAAUCCGGGUUGCGGACAGUGUCUGGUGGGUAGUUUGACUGGGGCGGUCUCCUCCUAAAGAGUAACGGAGGAGCACGAAGGUUGGCUAAUCCUGGUCGGACAUCAGGAGGUUAGUGCAAUGGCAUAAGCCAGCUUGACUGCGAGCGUGACGGCGCGAGCAGGUGCGAAAGCAGGUCAUAGUGAUCCGGUGGUUCUGAAUGGAAGGGCCAUCGCUCAACGGAUAAAAGGUACUCCGGGGAUAACAGGCUGAUACCGCCCAAGAGUUCAUAUCGACGGCGGUGUUUGGCACCUCGAUGUCGGCUCAUCACAUCCUGGGGCUGAAGUAGGUCCCAAGGGUAUGGCUGUUCGCCAUUUAAAGUGGUACGCGAGCUGGGUUUAGAACGUCGUGAGACAGUUCGGUCCCUAUCUGCCGUGGGCGCUGGAGAACUGAGGGGGGCUGCUCCUAGUACGAGAGGACCGGAGUGGACGCAUCACUGGUGUUCGGGUUGUCAUGCCAAUGGCACUGCCCGGUAGCUAAAUGCGGAAGAGAUAAGUGCUGAAAGCAUCUAAGCACGAAACUUGCCCCGA
rnacentral:rRNA from 1 species